GUUGGGGUCUAGGUCGGUGCAGGUGCCGGUGGUCUCCUGUGCUGCUGUGCUGGGAGAGAGCUCGUCGCAGUGCGAGUCGAGCGAGUUGUUGCUGCAGAGGCUGUCUGGGCUCUUGCUGGCCACAGAGCUCUUGGUGGGUCUCAGUGGCCCCGGGGAGUUGUGGUUGGCAUCUCUCCCAUGGCAUGUCCUGUGCUGCUCAGCCAGAAGCUCUCCAUCAGCCAGAGGCUCUCCGUCAGCCAGAGGCUCUCCAUCAGCCAGAGGCUCUCCAUGCCAGGCGUUUUCUGUGGGAAUGACGUUCAGCUGCUUGUCCGGGGACUGGGACCCUGCUCUGGCGAACUCCUUGCAGUACACCGAGACCGGGGAGUCAUCCAAGCUGAAAUCCGAGCAGCUACUGACAGAGGAGGAGGAGGAGGAGGAGGAAGAAGAAGCCAGAUCACAAGGGGGAUCACAAGGGGAAGCCGCCUCCUCCUCGUCUCCGCUGUGCAGGCAGGGGAAAUCCUCAGGGUUCUGCAGCCCGAGCGUCUCCGGCUCUGGAGCGUGGGACUCACAGCAGCGGCAUUUCACGGAGGGAUUGUUGGAAUUGGCAUCCACUGGCUCCCGGUUCUCUGGGCACUGGGUGCAGCCCGUCUGCUCUCCCCCGCCCGUGGAGCCAUCCUGGAGCUCGGGGUGCCGGGAGAGGUGCAGCCCCAGGGAGAUGUGCUGCAGGUGGAUGUGGUUGAGGUUGCACAGGAGGCCUUUCUUUGGAGCCAGCAUGGUGCUGCCUCUCUGGAAGUGCCCGGGCUCCCAGGAAAGGCCAGCAGCUCUUCUCUUCACACCAUCCAGCUCCCUGCAAGCACCAAACACCCUCCUGGUCAGGGAAGAGCACAGCGGGACAAACCUGGAGAGAGGCACAGCCGGGGGAAGAGGGACGGCAGUGACCUUGCAGCAGGGCCUGGCACAAGGGCUGGGGGUUAGAGAAGGGGAUGUGCCCCGAGGGAGGGGCUGCCCCACAGCUUCCUGCCACCCUUGGGGCUCUGCAGCUGGGCAGGAACCGAAGGCAGCCGCUGGUCCCUGGAGCACGGCCUGGGAAUGAUCCCAGGAAGCUCGGCUUCUCCGGGGCUGGAUUCCCUCCGGAGGGUCGGGAGCAUCUCGGGGAUGCCGUCAAGGAGAAAACGCCCUUGGAGCCUCAUCGAGACG
rnacentral:lncRNA from 1 species